UACGUGGGGUGCAAACGUUGCUCGGAAUUAUUGGGCGUAAAGAGCUCGUAGGUGGCGUGUCGCGUCUGCCGUGAAAGCCCAUGGCUUAACUGUGGGUCUGCGGUGGAUACGGGCAGGCUAGAGGCUGGUAGGGGCAAGCGGAAUUCCUGGUGUAGCGGUGAAAUGCGCAGAUAUCAGGAAGAACACCCGUGGCGAAAGCGGCUCUCUGGAACGGUACUGACGCUGAGACGCGAAAGCGUGGGGAGCGAACAGG
rnacentral:rRNA from 1 species